rnacentral:rRNA from 1 species
UACGUAGGGGUCAAGCGUUGUCCGGAUUUACUGGGCGUAAAGAGCGUGUAGGCGGCCAAGCAGGUCCGUUGUGAAAACUGGAGGCUUAACCUCCAGACGUCGACGGAAACCGCGUGGCUAGAGUCCGGAAGAGGAGAGUGGAAUUCCUGGUGUAGCGGUGAAAUGCGCAGAUAUCAGGAAGAACACCAAUGGCGAAGGCAGCUCUCUGGGACGGUACUGACGCUGAGACGCGAAAGCGUGGGGAGCGAACAGG